AUUGAACGCUGGCGGCAUGCCUUACACAUGCAAGUCGAACGGCAGCACGGGAGCAAUCCUGGUGGCGAGUGGCGAACGGGUGAGUAAUGUAUCGGAACGUGCCCAGUCGUGGGGGAUAACGUAGCGAAAGCUACGCUAAUACCGCAUACGAUCUGUGGAUGAAAGCGGGGGACCGUAAGGCCUCGCGCGAUUGGAGCGGCCGAUAUCAGAUUAGGUAGUUGGUGGGGUAAAGGCCUACCAAGCCGACGAUCUGUAGCUGGUCUGAGAGGACGAGCAGCCACACUGGGACAGAGACACGGCCCAGACUCCUACGGGAGGCAGCAGUGGGGAAUUUUGGACAAUGGGCGCAAGCCUGAUCCAGCAAUGCCGCGGGCAGGAAGAAGGCCUUCGGGUUGUAAACUGCUUUUGUACGGAACGAAAAGGUCCUGGUUAAUACCUGGGGCUAAUGACGGUACCGUAAGAAUAAGCACCGGCUAACUACGUGCCAGCAGCCGCCGCCGUAA
rnacentral:rRNA from 1 species